CCUGGCGCCGGAUGAGGCCCUGCCCGCGGACCUAUUCCUGGUCAUUCACACGGCUCUUGGCAUUGCCAGCGGCGUGGCGUACCUGCACUCCAGGAACAUCAUUCAUGGGGACCUGUCUGCGAACAACGUGCUGUUGCUGAAGACCAAGAAUGAGAACAUCCCGGUGGUGGCCAAGUUGUCUGACUUUGGACUGAGUAUGCGACUGGAGCAUGGACAAGACCACCUGAAAAACGUAAGUGCGCUGUCUUUGCUUUUUCGUCCCGUACAUGUACAUGUACACGUACAUGCACACGCGCUUGUGUUUUGUACAUGCACGUACCGAGCGAAGUGCAUUGCGCGGUACUCGACUCUGGCUGCAGCAGCAGCAGCAGCCAUUGCGCAUGCUAGGGUGGGACGUCUGCGACCUCUUGUCGCCGGACCUCCCGGGUUAGGGCGCCGCCCUAGGUUACCCCCCUACCUCCCCAACCCCCGACCCCAGAGGCAAAUAUGCUGGGCUGUCUAUAUCCUCCCGUUCCUAAAUUGGCAAUCAUGGAAUAUGGCGUCUGAGUGGGCUGGCUGGAUGGCUCAGUGACCUAGUAUCUGCUUCAGCUAGGUUGCGGGUUGUAAUUAGGCCGUCCUAAGUAGACCGCCGCCGCCAGCGGUGAUGAAUCUGUCGUAUCGCGCCACGUCUCCAAUUGUACGGCGCAGGUUCAUCACGGCACGCCGUACUACCAGAGCCCGGAGGUUGCGGAGCACGGCACUUGCAGUCUGGCUGCGGUGAGUGCGAAUGGACGACAUGGACGACAUAAGGUUUUUAGGGUUUUGGACUUGUUGGGUUUUGGGUGUUAGGGUUUUAUGGACGACAUGGACAACAUACAAAUGAACAAGGUUGUUCGCUGCGGCCUGCCUGUUGUUUGGUUUGGGAACGGACGAGAUCUGACCGACAAUUGCAUCCUUGGUGGUGGUGGCGAUGGUGGUGGGCCGCGUGAAUGGCGCCGUAAAAAAUGCGGAAUGAAGCACACAUAAAUACGUCUUAACUGAACUAAACCCAACUGAAACCACCAACCGAACAGGACGUUUAUUCGUUAGGCGUGCUGUUGUGGGAGCUUUACCACGGAACACCUCCCUGGAGGUUGAAAAAGCACAAGGCCCGGAAGCCAGCGAAGUUGCCUGCGAACGGCGAUGGUGCAGCCGUCAGCGCCGCCGCCGAGGCUGCCGCGGCCGACGGCAACCGUGGCGUUACCGCCAAGGCCAUCGAUGGCGACCAAUGGAAUGACCGGCUUCGCGCCUGUGACGUGCUCGAGAUCUCACCGAGCUGUCCAGAGCGGUAUGCCCGCGUGCUGCGGCGCUGUUUGAGUCCCAACCCACGAGACCGCCCCAGCGCGAGGGCGGUGGUCAAGGCGCUGCUGCGGAUGGAGCGAUCCCAGGCUGCGGCUGCGGUGGGGGACAAGUUACGGAUGGUGCGUUAUGACCUGUGUGCCUGGCCGUGUGUAGGGCCUGGGGGGUUUGUUUAGGCACGGGUGCCGGCGCGUUCGUCUGGUCGCCUAAUUUGCUGGUGCUGGUGCCUAAUUUGGCGUUGGGUGCGUGGCGCGUUUCCUCAUCAGGCUCGGUUUCAGUCGGGGACUCGAAAAGGUGCGUCUUGCCGAGGUGCCCUCAUGCGCCUGUGAACCCCUUUUAUAAAAAGGGUUUAGCCAAACGUGUUGGCUGUCUGUUGGUCGAUCGACAAGCGGCGAUGUGUGAUGUUUCCUUGUUCAUGGAUUGAGAUGAGCGGGGCCGGCGGGGUGAAGACACCCUUCAGCAGUAACGGGAGAUGAGAUGAAGUGGAACUUGAAAUGCGUUUACGUUGGAGUUUAGGAUGCUAAGGAAGGCAACAAGGUGGCCAGGCACUCGAUUUCAUAAGCUGAUAUAUCUACAGUCCAUUUUACGUAAUCAUGCUGUUUUUCGUUCCGAGCCCUUUCUAUUAAGGCCCUGGGCCUCGCUAUUGAUGGUUGAUUGUUUGUCACUUGUUUGUUAACUUUUUUGGUUUCGCUCGGAUUUUGCAAUCGCAGACGUGUGCACCUGUGGGCGCGAUGAUGGCCCUGACACGACCACCCGUAUCGAGCGCUCUGUUGCCUGGUCGGACCCAGGACGCUGCGCUACUGCUAGAAGACUUUGACGCAGCAGCGGCAGCGGUGGCGGCGGCGGUGGCACGUGUGACGGCGGCGCCAACGGUGGCCGGCGCGCCGGCGUCAGCCGGUGCUGCAGCGGCGGUCGCUGCUGCAGCGGCGGCAGGCACUGCCAGCGGCAGUCUGCUGCCCGUCCUGGACCAGAGUUUGCAGCUUGGGACGACGGCCGAAGCAACAGCCGCGGUUGCCCGGUAACAGAGUCAGAAGGAGCAACCCGGCAGCGGUGUAUAAGCAGCCAAGGUUACCGUUAGUCGUGGCGUUGCUGCCAGCACAGCGGCUGUUGCAGUGACAGCAGCCACAGCUACACGAAGAAGAACGGUGAUGCCAGCAUGAUACUGAAAACGUACAGAAACAGGUACAGAAAACAACAACGGCUACUUUCAAGGCUACAGCCAUAGCUAUGGCCAGGCAGACGUCUGAAGCAGAACCCAAACUUCACGUGAGAACGCUUGGAUAAUUAUGUGUGAAGGUGUCGUUAACGUUACCCCGUUAGAGUAAAAACGGAUAAGAUGUGCGGCGGAGAGCUGUACCUUGAGUGUACGGGCAAGCCAUGUACGGCCACUGCAGGAGCUUCGUACGCUCAAUGCAAGAGCGUAAUGAUUCAUGCUACUUUAUGACAGUUGACUCAGGUCUAUCUGUCGUCGUUACAGAGUGGGAGGCUUCUGGGCCACUUGAACUUGGGAGGUCUAUCUGAUGGUGGGCGGCAAGCUUCCUCAGUAGGGCAGCCUUGCAAGUUCACGUGAAAUUUAACGAAGAUGUACGCAUGUCUAAUCUUCUUAUGCCUUGCCUCGAGACCUUGUCGCGUUUGGAUCUAUCUUUGUGAGGAUGCUUCGACGGCGGACAACGUUGUGCUAGCGACUUCCCUCGCGCACACGUGCGUGACCAUUGGUCAUAGGUACAAUGGCUAAGGACCGUGCAGUAGGCGGAAAUUGAACUCUGGUCUCAAUUCUACCAUGACGCGGAGCACGUGCACCCAAUAUUCGACGGACUUAAAUUAGCUGGUAAAUUGCAUAGUCUUGUCCUUGGAAGGGGUAGUCCCUUUAUCUAAUUGAUGGUUGGUGCGAUGCUUGAUUAUUGCCAUCUCUUUAUCAUUUAGAUUUGGUUUCUUGGCUCAGUUCAUCAUCUUACUACCUGCCAAGGCGGCGGCGUGGCUCAGCUCUGUUGAGAGCCAUGGCAGCGGCUUGUUAGGUUGGUUCGAUGCAUAUUUAUAUGAUCCUGCUGGCCCGUAUCGAUCUGUCAAUUUAAAGAUCUUGCAGCAGCGAUUGCCGGUGGUUGGUACUUGCAAGCACAAGGUGUCCAAAGUUGUGCAGGCAUUUUACCUUGAUGCCGUACAUACAUACCGUAUUGGCUUGAAGAAAUCAGUGGAAAUAACUUAAUAACUGGCAUUAGUGAGGCUAUGGGUUCGGAGCAUACUGCGCAUUGCGUGUUGUGCCCUUCGGGCUGGGGCGUGUGCAUGCAUGCACACAUACACGCGUGGGUUCGUUUGUACAUUCGUUGUACAUUCGUACAUUUGCCGUACACAAACUUAUGACAAACCUAAGUUUCGAGGUGAUGACAACGUUGCUAAUUAUCGUAUCGUCAUGUUGGGUGCUGUGUUGGGUGCACACGAGGGCUGUGCGUGCGGCCAUGCACAUGGUAUGGGGCGGUACAUUGUGCGUGAUGCCUGCAGGCUGACACUGCAGUUUGCGCAUAGCUAGCUAGCCAUGCCUGCGGCCGGUUGUGCCUGGUGCUUGUUUUUGUCGGUUAUACAGCAUGUAAUUGUACGGCUGGGAAACUGGGUGUAAGACAUAAACGGAUGAAAUCUCUUUGGAUGUCUAAAUGUUUUUGAUUGUCUGUAUGUAAAUCAUUUAUUUUCAGUCCUAUCUAUUGCAUCAUGACACGGCAUAUAUAAAGACCAUCCUAGUAAAUGAGUCGUAGACUGGGCUUCUGUAGCACAGUCGCUCACCUGAACAAACGACUUUUCAGCGGCCAGCUACUACAGCUUCCAUAUCUAAGUUGGGUUUCCGUGGCUAAGAAAGGCGCGUGCUUGAUGACCACGAACCAAACGGCUCGCUUUCAGGUCUUCCGGCUGUACGUCGAUACCGUGAUGCAAUACCGGGAUUCCACUUAUGGAGCUCUAGGAGGUCGAUAGUGGAGUUUUUAUGUGAUGCGUGGACGGGGUACAGGAUGUGAGCGGUGGUUUUUCUUCCUGGGCUCACCUCGACCAACUAUUAGUAUGCAUGAAGCUUCAUGUACCUUAAGGUAUCCAUUGCCAGUGAAUUCGUUCGGUUCUGCUGACUAGCUACGUCUGUAAUUUUUCCACGUGACUAUAGACGAACUAUUUUGAGUAUACAGUUAGCGGGAACCCCGGGGCCGGGGCCGGGGCCGGGGCCGGGAAGGCUUUCUUUUCCUUGAGUUACCUUGAUAUGCAAAGUAAUAAGUGUAGUGAGUCUGGUUGAGACGCAUCAAAAUACAGCUCCCAUGAACGGGACAGGCGGGCCGAGUGGUCCAGGGCGAAUGGCAACAAGUGAUGGGACGGAAGCGUCAGCGGGUGAACCUGGCGCUGUCUAACAAGCCAGCGCCUGGCGGGGGGUACCUACCAAAAGCGCAGAUUGAACUGGCGAUGUCCCUCCGCGAUUGCUGGGUGUGCCUGGGUUUGGAUCACANNNNNNNNNNNNNNNNNNNNNNNNNNNNNNNNNNNNNNNNNNNNNNNNNNNNNNNNNNNNNNNNNNNNNNNNNNNNNNNNNNNNNNNNNNNNNNNNNNNNNNNNNNNNNNNNNNNNNNNNNNNNNNNNNNNNNNNNNNNNNNNNNNNNNNNNNNNNNNNNNNNNNNNNNNNNNNNNNNNNNNNNNNNNNNNNNNNNNNNNNNNNNNNNNNGGCCGCACCGCGACCGGCAGCCUCUGCACCGCGACCUGCGGCGGCUCCUCCUCGGGCACCACGGCCUCGACCCGGGUUAACAUUACCCCGGCCUCCCUGUCCGCGACCCCCACCUGGACCAUUGCGUCCGGCCACGCGGCCUGCUGGGCCACCACCACGUCCACCACCCCGGCCACGGCCUCCAGCACCACGGCCCGCACCCGCGUUGGCCGGCUGAAUAGGGGCAGCGACGGGCGGCGCCUGGACAGGUCCAGCGUGUACUGGAGCGGGUGCCGCCACAGCAGCAGCAAAGGAAGGUGGAGCCUGUAGGGCAGCAGCAUGAGAGCGUACACGAGCAGCGGACUGUUGAACAGCCAUGCGAACUGCAUGUUGUUUUUCGACCCCCCAUCGCAUGUGCCCGCAACUCGGCAUAGACGGUAUGCUCUUGGAAAUCAGUCGGGCGUACGGCGCACUCUUCACGUAAGUAUGGCAAUAGCUUCUCGCGGAAAUGCCAAAGCUUAGUUGGUUCUUGCAUAUCAGGAAUAUCCUGAAGUAGCGCUUCAAACCGACCAGCAAACGUAAGGACUGACUCAUUAAGCUCUUGCUUAAAGGCAGCGCUAUAGAAGGUAGUGCGCGCUACGUGCGUGCGAGAGUACAUCUCCGGGGCAAACCUGACCAGGAAGGCGUCCAGCAACUGAUUUGGGGUAUAGUCAGGAACCGACUUGGUCCAUGUAAUGUGCCACUCUUUGAAGAAUCCCUCCAAAGCCCCACUGAUAAACAACUUUUGCGCUGGAAUGUUAGCUUGCCAGCCAACAAGAACAAAGUAAUCCCGAACAUCAGCCACGAAUGCACGAAUUCGGUCGGGUUCUACGGGUGUUGCAACAGGCAACUUUGGCGCAGGGAUGUUACGUACCAUCUGCGCAUCCGAGAGCUGUGCGACCGCAACAGCUGCUGGCACAGCAACGGGCUGUGCGGGGUCUGGCAUUGCGCCAGCGGCGGGUGCUCCAGCAAUAGGAAUUACUGGUUGACCAGCAGGUGCGACGGGCACGGGCACAACGGGUGCCAACGGGGGAGCGGCAGCGCCAGCCUCACCCGCUGCAGGGGCAGCAGCAGCAGCAGGUGCAGCUGCAGCAUCAGCAACUUGCUGAAAGGGGGGCAAGAUUGAACCCACCUGGGUUCCCUGAGGAGCCUGACGCCAUAGCGACGUCGAGUGACCCACCGGGGUCGUUUGUUCCGCCUGUCCCGUUCACUACAAUACAGUAGGAUCUUGCUCACCGGGACAGCUAAUCGAACAACUUACUUGCAGUAAGAAGUUACUUACUGGGAGAAAUAGUCAGACGUGCGAAAUAUUCGCACUCCCUAUCAAUGCGGCCCGGAAUGAGGGACUGCCGCUGUCCCCAUGGAUCUAUGGGGUCUCGAUACCAAAUCUGUAGUGAGUCUGGUUGAGACGCAUCAAAAUACAGCGAAAUGUAGCAGCGGAAAACAGACCACAAUAGGUGGUAAAGGUGCGAGGUGGGUAUGACCACGACACCAGUAGUAAUAGCAGCGCUAGAC
rnacentral:lncRNA from 1 species